UUUUUCUUUAACAAACUGCAUGUUUUUUACAGUGUUCUUUAUUUUGUGGUAUAUAUUUAAAACUGUGAAUUAACUUUUUCAAUUAAAGGCUGGUUUUAUUAUUUUGUAAUAACUUUUCUUUAACUGUAUGAAGAUUUAACACCUGACAUUACCCAGUUGAGUCCUGGCAUAACUGCAUUACACACUGCAUUAGAGAAGUGGAAACAGAAGUCACCUCAGUAAAAGUAAGGCAGUAAAAGGGACAGUCAUUCAGUUCCUGGAUCGAACAUGGAUUUCUCACAAAUACAGGUACAGUGGAACAUCGUAACGUGAACGUUCCCGAACAAAUUGGAAGUCGAACUAAAAUUUCACAUAAAGUGUCUCAGUAUGCGAACAAUCCUCGGUACCCAAACACAUCAUGCAGCAUUCACAGAGGGACACAAGUGAUGAGGAAAUAUGGGCAGAUGGACUAUGUAAAGGGAUAGAGGGGAAUAUAGGGAGAGCUAGGCACGAACUCCACUUUUGCUGUUUGCAACGGACCGCUUAACCCGUCAAUCCUAUAACCAGAAUGUACCUAUCGGAGGUGGCUUGGGGAGGAGGGGAGGUGAUUCAUGACAGCAAGAAACUACUGUACUUACUUUUCUCUCCCUGUCCUCCUGCAGGCUAGUUUGAUUGGCAAUAUAAUAUACUAAUACGUGGCUGACUGUCUGUUUCCUUGGCAAUGGAAGGUUCAUUCCCCCAUUCCCUUACUUAAAUCACAGCCCUUUACACUCUUACAGGGACAGACCCUACAUUUUGGGUCUAUUUUGCUUCACCUGCAAUUUUUCCCUUAAAAAGGUUACAGCAAGCACUAUAACCACUUCAGCGAUUUGAAGUGGUCAUGGUUAAUAGACACUGUAUGUGCAGCAUUUUGCACCUGAGGUCCAGUUCCCCGUCUGUAAUAAAAAAAUCAUCCAGGUUAUAAGGAAAUUCUGUUGAUGCCAAGUGAUAAAGGAAUGAAGUCAAAGGAAGCAUUGGUUUCAUUAACAGAACACUCCCUUUAUGAAGAGCUAUAGGAGUUAGAAGAAAGUUUGUAACUGUGACAACCAAUCGCUAUUUGCCACAAUAAUAAGCACAAAUAAAGCACAGACACACACAAACAGUUUAAAGUGAACCAGACUGCC